GCAGCAGUAGCUCAGUUGGGAGAGCGUUAGACUGAAGUUGUUUACGCAACAGUCAUCUACAGGCCCCCGGUUCAAUCCCGGGUUCCGGCA
rnacentral:tRNA from 1 species